rnacentral:rRNA from 1 species
AUUGAACGCUGGCGGCAGGCCUAACACAUGCAAGUCGAACGAGUGGCGGACGGGUGAGUAAUGUCUGGGAAACUGCCUGAUGGAGGGGGAUAACUACUGGAAACGGUAGCUAAUACCGCAUACCAUCAGCUGUGCCCAGAUGGGAUUAGCUAGUUGGUGGGGGAACGUCUUACAAGGGCGACGAUCACUAGCUGGUCUGGGAGGAUGACCAGCCACACUGGAACUGAGACACGGUCCAGACUCCUACGGUAGGCAGCAGUGGGGAAUAUUGCACAAUUGGCGCAAGCCUGAUGCAGCCAUGCCGCGUGUAUGAAGAAGGCCUUCGGGUUGUAAAGUACUUUCAGCGGGGAGGAGUUACCCGCAGAAGAAGCACCGGCUAACUCCGUGCCAGCAGCCGCGGUAAUUC